rnacentral:rRNA from 1 species
GACGAACCGAGCGAACGUUGUUCGGAAUCACUGGGCUUGAAGGGCGCGUAGGCGGGUGCUCAAGUCCGGGGUGAAAUCCUCCAGCUCAACUGGAGAACUGCCUCGGAUACUGGGUGCCUCGAGGGUGGUAGGGGUAUGCGGAACUAUCGGUGGAGCGGUGAAAUGCGUUGAUAUCGAUAGGAACUCCGGUGGCGAAGGCGGCAUACUGGACCACAUCUGACGCUGAGGCGCGAAAGCGUGGGGAGCAAACCGG